CGAUACAUCAGUUUAGGUCGGCUGUUCCCAUCCGCAGGACGCUCUCUCUCCUUGCUUCACUCCAUUUAAAGGCUAAGAAAAGUCCUCUCUCUUCAUCCUCCGUCAAAGAAGUUUCUUAAUGUCAGUUCAAUUUGUAUUCCCUCCAUCUCGCUCCAUUUACAUGGAAGCUACUUUGAGAAAGGGAAUUUUGAAGAGAGUCAUAAAUUAAAGGCAUCGGGUGUUUGUGUUUUUCCAUAUGCACGGCAUGAAUGAUAAAAAGGGGCGUGAACACUAUUAUGAUGACCCUAUGGCCUCUUGCAAGAAUAUGA